rnacentral:rRNA from 1 species
AUACGGAGGAUCCAAGCGUUAUCCGGAUUUAUUGGGUUUAAAGGGUGCGCAGGCGGAAGAUUAAGUCGGCGGUGAAAUUUUGCAGCUCAACUGUAAAAGUGCCAUCGAUACUGGUUUUCUUGAGUGUGGAUGAAGUAGGAGGAAUUUGUGGUGUAGCGGUGAAAUGCAUAGAUAUCACGAGGAACUCCGAUUGCGCAGGCAGCUUACUAGGCCAUAACUGACGCUCAGGCACGAAGGCGUGGGGAUCAAACAGGAUUAGAUACCCUGGUAGUCCACGCAGUAAACGAUGAUUACUCGCUGUUUGCGAUACACAGUAAGCGGCUUAGCGAAAGCGUUAAGUAAUCCACCUGGGGAGUACGUUCGCAAGAAUGAAACUCAAAUGAAUUGACGGGG